GACGAACGCUGGCGGCGUGCUUAACACAUGCAAGUCGAACGGAAAGGCCCUGCUUUUGUGGGGUGCUCGAGUGGCGAACGGGUGAGUAACACGUGAGUAACCUGCCCUUGACUUUGGGAUAACUUCAGGAAACUGGGGCCAAUACCGGAUAGGAGCUCCUGCUGCAUGGUGGGGGUUGGAAAGUUUCGGCGGUUGGGGAUGGACUCGCGGCUUAUCAGCUUGUUGGUGGGGUAGUGGCUUACCAAGGCUUUGACGGGUAGCCGGCCUGAGAGGGUGACCGGCCACAUUGGGACUGAGAUACGGCCCAGACUCCUACGGGAGGCAGCAGUGGGGAAUAUUGCACAACGGGCGGAAGCCUGAUGCAGCAACGCCGCGUGCGGGAUGACGGCCUUCGGGUUGUAAACCGCUUUCGCCUGUGACGAAGCGUGAGUGACGGUAAUGGGUAAAGAAGCACCGGCUAACUACGUG
rnacentral:rRNA from 1 species